GAUGAACGCUAGCGGCAGGCUUAAUACAUGCAAGUCGAGGGGCAGCACGGGUAGCAAUACUUGGUGGCGACCGGCGCACGGGUGAGUAACGCGUAUGCAACCUGCCUUGUACAGGGGAAUAGCCUUCCGAAAGGGAGAUUAACACCCCAUAAUAUUAUCGAUUCGCAUGUUUUGAUAAUUAAAACUCCGGUGGUACAAGAUGGGCAUGCGUCCUAUUAGCUAGAUGGUAAGGUAACGGCUUACCAUGGCGACGAUAGGUAGGGGGCCUGAGAGGGUGGUCCCCCACACUGGUACUGAGACACGGACCAGACUCCUACGGGAGGCAGCAGUGAGGAAUAUUGGUCAAUGGGCGCAAGCCUGAACCAGCCAUGCCGCGUGCAGGAAGAAUGCCCUAUGGGUUGUAAACUGCUUUUAUUGGGGAAUAAACCUCCAGACGUGUCUGGAGCUGAAGGUACCCAAUGAAUAAGCACCGGCUAACUCUGUGCCAGCCGCCGCGGUAACAC
rnacentral:rRNA from 1 species